AAUGCGUGACUAGUGGCGCCAUCUUGUGAUGAAGAGAAAAGCCAAACCGGCAAGCUAGAUCCUGGCUGUAGUAACUGCGUAGGAGCCAAACUGCGCAGUCGUCACGGAGAUCUCCCGCUAAAAGUACGUUGAACUGAAGACGUUGAAAAUCUUGAUGAUGAAUAACUGUCACAACUAUCAAAUAAGUGUUGUGGUAGAUGACAAUGACAAGAUGUCGACUGAGGAAAGUAAGAAAUUCAAGCAGAUGAUUCAAUGCUUGUGCGUGUGAGCAGCCGGUAAUUUAGUGCAUAAAGAAGCAAAAAGUGUUUGUGACAAAAUAUAAGCUGAGGUUAUAAAUUAAUAACUGAACCGAGAACGAAGAGUGGGAGCAGCCAGGGCAAACACAGAUGUCAAGUAGAAAAGUCGAUGUACGUUCAGACAGCAUAUAUUGGAGAGAAGAUUGAACCGAGCUUGAUUGUUGGAUCAGUUGCGUUUAGAGUGGGUUUGUCAAGUACCAAUUAAUUAUACGAGGUGUUUUCGCGGAAGGGAUAUGGAAGAAGACAUCAUGGUUACUUAACGGCGCAUCUUUGGAGCUCAGGUAUUUACUCUCAUUUAUUUAAUUAUUUAUUG